AUUUGUCUUGUAAACAUGCCCUGUUGUGCCAAAAAAUGCGGGAAGUAUUUAAAUUGCAUCGAAGAAAAUGAUGUAAAGUUAGCCAGGAAGGCGGGAGUGCUAAUGAAUGACAACAGUAACUUGUUUGAGUGCUCUGAGGGCCGGCGGGUUCCAGGCGUGUCACUUUCACCGCCCAUCAAGCUGCUGUCUGAUCAUUGGUGAGCCAAAGUCAUCGACCAUGACAGCGUUUGCUGCUUUGGAGUGUCUUCAAAAAGUUGAAUUAUGGAACCUGCGGACAAACAGAGAAAGGACAGACCCCGGUGCUUAAAAAUGAGAGAAAAAGAAGUUGUCCUGUCGCUACUGGAUCAUGAGUUCGUCGCUGCGAGAGGACAGGCUUGAGGCGCUAACGAACAUCCGGGCCUUGUCGCCGUGCGCCUUGUCCGACUGCAGGGUGAAGGACAGGUGGUCGUGCUCCAGGAUGGCAAGGCGGUCCUGCGUCUUCUCCUUCUUCAGGUAGAACAUCUUCCUCAGCUGCUUCAGCUGCUGCAGCUCGCAGAAAGUCUCCAGGACCACCAGCAUGAAGAUCAAACCCAGGAUCAGGUAGACUGAACACAAAGGUGAUGAUUUUAAAACUAUUGUCAGGAGAGAGAAAAAAGCAACAUUCUCCAUAAUAACUUCAAAAACUGUCAUUCGUACAUUCCUUCACAAGGGGGUAGUGCUCUCUCGUAGUUUGGUGAAUUGACCAUGUGAGUCCACCAAACAGGAAGUGCUUGCUUCCUGUAAAACCCUAACACACUAUUACAUAUGUACCAGCUAUCUAUCUCAUUUGCAUAGAUUACAAGUUGUGUGCAAAAGACUUGUCCUGUUUAAUGACCACACCUGUCAUUUUGACAGUAAAACGGUAAAGAAUAGGACAGAAACAUGACUUUUAUCAGGUUUCCUUUCCAUUUAGCUUGAAAAAGACAUGCUCCUGCAACUUUACACUGUUACUCAAUUUUUUUUUUUAACAAACAAAAAAUGGACUGAGAGCCUGGUUUACUAAAGGUUUGCAUGUGCUAAAACACAUGCAAACCUGAUAACACUUGCAAAGGGUAAAGUGAGCAGAAUAAGGUGUGAAAUCCAUUUAUAUAUAUUUGUUUAUCAUCAAAACACCCACAAUACUGGGAGGAGAAAAUGCAAAUAUAUUAUACAGCACGCACAAUGUGAUUAGUAAAAACUCAUCACUGUUUUGCGAGCACUAUUUAGGGUUUGAUUUAACAGGUCUGAAAAGUACGUGCAAACUGGCACACACUCGGUGUUCACGCUGCAUGCAAAUACAAGCGAUUGACAAAGAGUCCUCUGUCAUACGUCUGUGUUUCAACAUACUUGCAUGGUCUGUCAGAAAUUUUAAAAAAAAAUUACACAUAUUGCCUAUUCCGUAACAUCCUUUUAUAAUUUUAUAGCUGCAUGCUGAGUGACUUAAGGGGCGGCUUAAAACGAAUUCAAUUGAUGCGUUUCGGUACCCGCUGGCGUUUUGUUUAAUGCCAUUAAUUUUUUCAUUCAUAAUAUAUAUUAUUAACAUAUCUGUUACAUAAAAAAAACUUUGUGAAGUAUGCAUUUUUUGUGUCUUGAGCACAGUAAGUACAGCCUCCAUCCCGAGACUGAACCUUCAGCGCGGUUGUAG